AGAAAUCAACCGAGAUUCCGAAAGUAGCGGCGAGCGAAAUUGGACUAGCCCUUAAGCUUUACACGCGUUAGACGAACGGUCUGGAAAGUCCGACGAUACAGGGUGAUAGUCCCGUAGUUGACGACGUGUGUUCAGUGAAAUCGAGUAGGGCGGGACACGUGAUAUCCUGUCUGAAUAUGGGGGGACCAUCCUCCAAGGCUAAAUACUACUGACUGACCGAUAGUGAACCAGUACCGUGAGGGAAAGGCGAAAAGAACCCCUGUGAGGGGAGUGAAAUAGAACCUGAAACCGUGUACGUACAAGCAGUAGGAGCAGGCUUUGUCCUGUGACUGCGUACCUUUUGUAUAAUGGGUCAGCGACUUAUAUUCAGUGGCAAGGUUAACCAUCUAGGGGAGCCGUAGGGAAACCGAGUCUUAACUGGGCGUUCAGUCUCUGGAUAUAGACCCGAAACCAGGUGAUCUAGCCAUGGGCAGGUUGAAGGUUGAGUAACAUCAACUGGAGGACCGAACCGACUAAUGUUGAAAAAUUAGCGGAUGACUUGUGGCUAGGGGUGAAAGGCCAAUCAAACCUGGAGAUAGCUGGUUCUCCCCGAAAGCUAUUUAGGUAGCGCCUCGGACGAAUACUACUGGGGGUAGAGCACUGUUAAGGCUAGGGGGUCAUCCCGACUUACCAACCCUUUGCAAACUCCGAAUACCAGUAAGUACUAUCCGGGAGACACACGGCGGGUGCUAACGUCCGUCGUGGAGAGGGAAACAACCCAGACCGCCAGCUAAGGUCCCAAAUUACUACUAAGUGGGAAACGAUGUGGGAAGGCUCAGACAGCCAGGAUGUUGGCUUAGAAGCAGCCAUCAUUUAAAGAAAGCGUAAUAGCUCACUGGUCGAGUCGGCCUGCGCGGAAGAUGUAACGGGGCUAAGUAGUAAACCGAAGCUGCGGCAAUGUGCUUUUGCACAUUGGGUAGGGGAGCGUUCUGUAAGCGGUUGAAGGUGUGUGGUAACGCAUGCUGGACGUAUCAGAAGUGCGAAUGCUGACAUGAGUAACGAUAAAGGGGGUGAAAAACCUCCUCGCCGGAAGACCAAGGGUUCCUGUCCAACGUUAAUCGGGGCAGGGUAAGUCGACCCCUAAGGCGAGGCCGAAAGGCGUAGUCGAUGGGAAACGGGUUAAUAUUCCCGUACUUCUUACAAUUGCGAUGGGGGGACGGAGAAGGCUAGGUGGGCCUGGCGACGGUUGUCCAGGUUCAAGUGCGUAGGCUUAAGAGUUAGGUAAAUCCGGCUCUUUUUAAGGCUGAGACACGACGUCGAGCAUCUACGGAUGUGAAGUCAUUGAUGCCAUGCUUCCAGGAAAAGCCUCUAAGCUUCAGAUUGUAAGGAAUCGUACCCCAAACCGACACAGGUGGUCGGGUAGAGAAUACCAAGGCGCUUGAGAGAACUCGGGUGAAGGAACUAGGCAAAAUGGUACCGUAACUUCGGGAGAAGGUACGCUCUCGACGGUGAAGUCCCUCGCGGAUGGAGCUAUUGAGAGUCGCAGAUACCAGGUGGCUGCAACUGUUUAUUAAAAACACAGCACUGUGCAAAAUCGUAAGAUGACGUAUACGGUGUGACGCCUGCCCGGUGCCGGAAGGUUAAUUGAUGGGGUUAGACUUCGGUCGAAGCUCUUGAUCGAAGCCCCGGUAAACGGCGGCCGUAACUAUAACGGUCCUAAGGUAGCGAAAUUCCUUGUCGGGUAAGUUCCGACCUGCACGAAUGGCGUAAUGAUGGCCACGCUGUCUCCACCCGAGACUCAGUGAAAUUGAAAUCGCUGUGAAGAUGCAGUGUACCCGCGGCUAGACGGAAAGACCCCGUGAACCUUUACUACAGCUUGGCACUGAACAUUGACCCUACAUGUGUAGGAUAGGUGGGAGGCUUUGAAGCACGUACGCCAGUAUGUGUGGAGCCGUCCUUGAAAUACCACCCUUGUAGUGUUGAUGUUCUAACGUCGACCCCUUAUCGGGGUUGCGGACAGUGCCUGGUGGGUAGUUUGACUGGGGCGGUCUCCUCCCAAAGAGUAACGGAGGAGCACGAAGGUGGGCUAAUCACGGUUGGACAUCGUGAGGUUAGUGCAAUGGCAUAAGCCCGCUUGACUGCGAGAAUGACAAUUCGAGCAGGUGCGAAAGCAGGUCAUAGUGAUCCGGUGGUUCUGAAUGGAAGGGCCAUCGCUCAACGGAUAAAAGGUACUCCGGGGAUAACAGGCUGAUACCGCCCAAGAGUUCAUAUCGACGGCGGUGUUUGGCACCUCGAUGUCGGCUCAUCACAUCCUGGGGCUGAAGUCGGUCCCAAGGGUAUGGCUGUUCGCCAUUUAAAGUGGUACGCGAGCUGGGUUUAGAACGUCGUGAGACAGUUCGGUCCCUAUCUGCCGUGGGCGUUGGAAGAUUGAAGGGGGCUGCUCCUAGUACGAGAGGACCGGAGUGGACGAACCUCUGGUGUUCGGGUUGUGUCGCCAGACGCAUUGCCCGGUAGCUAAGUUCGGAAUCGAUAACCGCUGAAAGCAUCUAAGCGGGAAGCGAGCCCUGAGAUGAGUCUUCCCUGAUACUUUAAGUAUCCUAAAGGGUUGUCGGAGACUACGACGUUGAUAGGUCAGGUGUGUAAGUGCUGUGAGGCAUUGAGCUAACUGAUACUAAUUGCCCGUGAGGCUUAACCAUACAACACCCAAGGGGUUU
rnacentral:rRNA from 1 species